UUGUCGCUGUAAUCUCUCAGGACCCGCUCGAUAGCCCCCGCCUCGCCGGCCCGGACGAUGUAGAGGGCGCGCUCUUCAUCCAUGGCCGCAGGUGCGGGGGAGCCGCAGCCGCUGUGCGCGCCCCAGCCGCUGCCUCCCAGAUGAAUCAGGGAACUCAGCACUCAUCAGAGGCAGGCCUGGGAUUCGAACCAGAGGAGUCAGCGCUGCACCCGGAGACUUUGCAGUGUUACAGUUGGUUGACCUACCUCCUCCUCAUCCCCAUGAACCUACUUCAGUGACGUGUGCCAUUCCUUCACCAGGGACUGCAACGGCUUCACCUUUGCUCUGGGAGGCUGACUACGCAAGCCGACAGUGGGUUUCAGCCUUGCACACUUAGCCGUAAAUCAAAGAACUUGAAUGUGCAUGUCUCUCUCUCUCUCUCUCUCUCUCUCUCUCUCUCUCUCUCUCUCUCUCUCUCUCUCUCUCAAUUGGGCACGUAUUGAGAAUACUCUUGCCAAUCUCUAGGCAGAGGUUUUGGGUCACUGGCAUGGGCUGGGCUGGGAGUUGGAGAACUGUGCUCCCGUCUUCUUUGCUGGCUUGGGUCACACAGCUUUCUGUGGCUGCAGCUUCAUCUUUAAGAACUUGGGGAAAAAAGGCCGUCUUCCUGAGGUUGUUAUGGGAACAAAUGGGCCCAUCUAUUUCAAAUUGCCUAAGGUGCAAGUUCCUUCAAUCUUAAUGGGAAAAUGAAACAAAGGAAGCUUUGUCUUCAGACAGGACCUUCUCUAGACGAGGGACAUUUUCAAUACCGACCUCACCCAAUAUGGGCACUGAUAUGACACAAUUAAAUUUACCACACUUUACAAAUAGAGACUAAUGAAACCAUGAACCACAAGGUGUGUGUGUGUGCGCGCACGUGUGUGUGUGCGUGUGAGUGUGUGUAUGUGUGCGUGUGAGUGUGUGUAUGUGUGCGUGUGAGUGUGUGUAUGUGUGUGAGCAUGUGUGUAUGUGUGUGAGUGUGUAUGUGUGUGAGUGUGCAUGUGUAUGUGUGUGUGUGAGUGUAUGUGUGUGAGUGUGUGAGUGUGUGUUUGUCAGUGUGCGCGUGUACACGUGUGCUGCAGAUGGUAGGCUGUCAAAUGCCCUUGUCUGAGAGCCACAAGGCAAGAUGGAGGAGAAGCUGUCUUGGGCCUCAUCUAGAUAGACACGGCUUCCUAGCUCUGCAGAGACUUGAUGUGCCAGGGUUGGGGGAUACCCAGGAGGGCCUCAGAGGAGAAAAGAAGGGGAGAUAAGGGGAGGAACUGUGUGAGGGGAGGCCAGGAGGAGGGGGGAACAGCAAUCAGGAUGUAAAAUGAGUGAAUAAGACCAACUUCUAUAAGACCAGCUAUUGAAUGAUAAAGACUCCAGUUGGGUACCGUUGUGGCUUCCAAAGCGGACACAGCAGACUUAUCUUUAAUCAACAGGGUCGCUGUGGGCUUUGAGGGUAACUUGGCUUCUUUUUAUGGUAAGGGUUUUAAAAAUAUCACCUCCCAAAAGGAGCUCCUGAAUUUCCUGGGGAAUGAAGCAGUAGAGGAGGGAGGACAAGACCAAGCAGUGGCGUGGAGAUGCAGUCUCCAGCGGGCGCACAUGCUCCCAGUGCAUGGACUCUGCCCACUCCCUACUGUGUAGUCCUGGACGCUGCAGCUACGCUUGCACGAAGCAGGCGCUCAGCGACCGCGUGAGGAAGGAAGGAGUGAGCGAGUGAAUGAAUGAAUGAGUGCCUAGACUGUGCUGAGUGUGACCCAGGCAGCAACUCUGUCACUCAGGGGAGUCAGAGCGAGAAGCACAGACUCUGCUCCCAGGAGAGGGGGCACCUGAGGAGCUGGCAUCUCUGUGACGCAGGCAAGAGUACGCUAAUGAAUGCCCCAGGUGAUGACUUAGAAGAAUCAACUUCUUGGCUUGUCUUGGGAUUAAACCAGGGCUCCUCUUGGAAAUCAAAACAGAGGGCUGUUUACCCUGAGUGCCUUCGAAGUGUGGAUACAUUCUCUUUAGUACCUCCCUUGGCAAAUCUGGUGGCUGAUGCAAUGUAGCCUCCAUACAGCCUCCCUCCUGCCCUUGUCCUCUGAGGCCCCAGACUCCCUUUGUGCUUGUUCUAUGGGGGUCCUGAGAGCUCUCUUAGACACAAAACCCACCUGUGGCUUCUCAACCUUCAGAGUAGGCAAAGUAGGCUUAGCCUCCCCCAACCUUUGGUCCAGCCUACAGCUACUUCCUUCCCCACCCCCAAGAAUUCACAGCAAGAGCCACAUCUGAGAGACAGUGGUGCUCAGGAGCCCCAAAGUAGUCACACUUCCUGGGUUCUAAUCCCCAUGUAAGUUACCCUGUGUCUCGUUUCCUCUUCUCCUGAGGUUCUCCAGAGUAUGCAAAGUGCUUUGUACAGAACCUGGUGUGCUGCAGCAUUUGGAAGAAAUAAAUUGACCUUUUGGAUGG